GCGGAGGAAAAGAAACCAACAGGGAUUGCCUCAGUAACGGCGAGUGAAGCGGCAACAGCUCAAAUUUGAAAUCUGGCCUCUUUGGGGUCCGAGUUGUAAUUUGUAGAGGAUGUUUCGGGCACCGCUCCGGUUUAAAUUUCUUGGAACAGAAUGUCAAAGAGGGUGAGAACCCCGUCUUGGACCGGCAGUAGGGCCCAUGUGAAACUCCUUCGACGAGUCGAGUUGUUUGGGAAUGCAGCUCAAAAUGGGUGGUAAAUUUCAUCUAAAGCUAAAUAUUGGCCAGAGACCGAUAGCGCACAAGUAGAGUGAUCGAAAGAUGAAAAGCACUUUGAAAAGAGAGUUAAACAGUACGUGAAAUUGUUGAAAGGGAAGCGCUUGCAACCAGACUUGCGCGCGGCGGUUCCCCCUUCCUUUUGGUUGGGUUAUUCCGCCGUGUCCAGGCCAACAUCGGUUCUGGGGGUCGGUUAAAGGCCUGGGGAAUGUAUCUACCCUUCGGGCGUAGACUUAUAGCCCCGG
rnacentral:rRNA from 1 species